UCCCUGGAGGACUAGUGGUUAGGCCACAGUGUUCUCACCGCUGCGGCCCGGGUUCAAUUCUGGGCCAGGGGA
rnacentral:tRNA from 1 species